rnacentral:rRNA from 1 species
AUUGAACGCUGGCGGCAGGCCUAACACAUGCAAGUCGAGCGGAUGAAGGGAGCUUGCUCCUGGAUUCAGCGGCGGACGGGUGAGUAAUGCCUAGGAAUCUGCCUGGUAGUGGGGGAUAACGUCCGGAAACGGGCGCUAAUACCGCAUACGUCCUGAGGGAGAAAGUGGGGGAUCUUCGGACCUCACGCUAUCAGAUGAGCCUAGGUCGGAUUAGCUAGUUGGUGGGGUAAAGGCCUACCAAGGCGACGAUCCGUAACUGGUCUGAGAGGAUGAUCAGUCACACUGGAACUGAGACACGGUCCAGACUCCUACGGGAGGCGGCAGUGGGGAAUAUUGGACAAUGGGCGAAAGCCUGAUCCAGCCAUGCCGCGUGUGUGAAGAAGGUCUUCGGAUUGUAAAGCACUUUAAGUUGGGAGGAAGGGCAGUAAGUUAAUACCUUGCUGUUUUGACGUUACAAACAGAAUAAGCACCGGCUAACUUCGUG